GGUAGCGGCUGAACAGGAGAAGCGUGAAAAGGAGGAAUCUUUUUCUUUUUUCUUUUGCUGAAUAAGAACUCAUCAUGGAAAGGGUGGUCCAAGAGUCAAAGAAACUUCAGCAGGAAGCAGAGGAGAAUGCGAAGGUAAUGAUAAAGCUACGGGAGUUCUUAAUGGACCGUGGUCGUGUUGUCGAUGUAUUGCAGAUUGCCUCAAGUUCUUAAAAGAAAUACCUUCUGCAGCAACAAAUGAUGCAUCUA